ensembl:lncRNA
UGUGCAUCUCAGUGUUUAAAUAAUGGUUAAGACGUUGUAGUUAAAACACAGAAGAACCUCUGCAACUAUCUGUUACAAUGUCUGCUCUGAGAAAUCCUAAUACCCCUAGAAGAAUGCUGUGUAUUCACCGACAAGGGGACCUGUUGAAAUGAGAGAGAACCUGACUUCAAUUAAAUUCAAUUCAAUUUUAUUUGUAUAGCGCUUUUUACAAUAGACAUUGUCUCAAAGCAGCUUUACAGAAAUAUCAACAUGGUAUACAGAUGUUAAAGGUGCGAAUUUAUCCCAACUGAGCAAGCCACUGAGUGGCGACGGUGGCAAGGAAAAACUCCCUAAAAUGUUUUAAGAGGAAGAAACCUUGAGAGGAACCCGACUCAGAAGGGAACCCAUCCUCAUCUGGGUAACAACAGAUAGUGUGAAAAAGUUCAUUAUGGAUUUAUAUGAAGUCUGUAUGACUUCUGCUCCAAGAAAAAAAGAAAGAUGUGGGAAAGAAUUUGCAAAUUGUACAUUAAAUGCUGUUGUUAGUGAUGAAACUUUUGUUAGUGGUAUGCUUAAAAGAGAGUGGGAAAUUAUGCCGGUCCAACCCUAAAAUGUGUUUGUAGGAAUAUUCCAGUUGGGAUUCUAAAACUAAAGUUCAUCAGUGUUCUUCCAGCUUUGUUUCUGGAGAAAAGCAUUUAAUAUUCUUGGGUGGUCUUUACAGUAAUACAUAUUAAAGCAUUUGUAUUUAUUUAAGGGGUGUAUGUAGCGGACUUAACAAGUAGUAUGGUUAAUGUGUGCACAUGCAUUAUUUGGUACAUAGUUAUGGCUAGUUUAACUUUUAGUUACAUGUGAACAACAUUUCUGCUGUACAUUUCUGCUGAACAUUUCUGCUGAACUAAACAUUUCUGCUGUACAUUUCUGCUGAACAUUUCUGCUGAACUAAACAUUUCUGCUGAACAUUUCUGCUGAACUACACAUUUCUGCUGAACUAAACAUUUCUGCUGAACUAAACAUUUCUGCUGAACUAAACAUUUCUGCUGAACAUUUCUGUUGAAAAUUUCUGCUGGACAUUUCUGCUGAACAUUUCUGUUGAACAUUUCUGCUGAACUAAACAUUUCUGCUGGACAUUUCUGCUGAACACGUCUACUGUUACGCCACGGCCAGCAGAGGGCACUGCGGUACGGCCGCUGACUGGUUACGUGACUCUUUUGUUUUCGUUCACUUCUGGCUUGGACACUGAGUUAAGUUUAUGUCUCUGAUUUGCCACAGGUGCACAUGUUUUGAGUUAAUUAGGUUUGUUAGUUAAACCCCCCGUGUGACUGCGCACAUUGCGCAGUAUUAUAGUUGGUUAGUUCGUCAAGUGAAGGAAGUAUACCGGUAUGUGCUAAGGUGUAGCAUGCUAGCGGUCGUAGCUAGGGGACCAGAGUGAGUAUAGUCAGUAGAGACCGCGCUCCCUGUGUUUGUUUACCUGUUUAUUUGUUUCUGGUUUAAGUAAUAAAGACUGUGACCUGCACCUGCAUCCGCCUCCAGUCUCGUUCCGUGACAGAAUACUGCGCCCAAAAAUGCGGAAGCAGCAGGUCGCUAUGAGCGCCGCCGAAGAGGCCAGGAUUUGGGCGCUUCUCCGUUCGUCCCUGGAGUUGAGCAAACAGCUCGCGGAGGACAUUUCUCAGUGCAAGGCCGAGCUGCGCGCCGCGUCGUCCCUCGCGCCAUAUACCCCGUCCCCGUCGCCAAGGAGCGACGCCUUGCAACAUAGCCAGCAAAGUAACCUGAGCAUCUGGGGCUUUCCACUGCAGGGGAGGUAUACCUUGCUGCGCAGUCCAGAGGUGAAGGCUGGCCCAGAAUUUUAUGUCCAAGUCCAGCCCACAGUCCCUGAGAGCCAAGUCAAGCCCACAGACCCGGAGGUCCAAGUCCCAGUCAAGUCUCAUGUUCCUGAUGUCCAAGUCUCCCUGUUCAGCCUCCCUGGUCGGCUGUGGACGUCGCUCAGCCUCCCUGGUCGGCUGUGGACGUCGCUCAGCCUUCCUGGUCGGCUGUGGACGUCGCUCUGCCUCCCUGGUCGGCUGUGGAC